UACCAGCACCCCGAGUGGUCGGGACGAUUAUUGGGCCUAAAGCAUCCGUAGCCGGUCCUACAAGUCUUCCGUUAAAUCCACCUGCUUAACAGAUGGGCUGCGGAAGAUACUAUAAGGCUAGGAGGCGGGAGAGGCAAGCGGUACUCAGUGGGUAGGGGUAAAAUCCUCUGAUCCAUUGAAGACCACCAGUGGCGAAGGCGGCUUGCCAGAACGCGCUCGACGGUGAGGCGCGAAAGCGUGGGGAGCAAACGGG
rnacentral:rRNA from 1 species